GCCUGGGUAGCUCAGUGGAUAGAGCAGUGGUUUCCUAAACCACGUGUCGGAGGUUCAAUUCCUCUCCCGGGUACCA
rnacentral:tRNA from 2 species